GGGGGAGCACCGCAUCUUGGGUUGUAUCCCCCAGUGCUCUGGGCUCCGGAGCCUGCACUGCUGGAAUUGCACUCCAGGCCGCGCAGCCCCCU
rnacentral:pre_miRNA from 1 species